rnacentral:lncRNA from 1 species
GUUGAUCACAGAAGAUGAGGACGUGCGGACGGCUGUGAGUCGGGCGUUGCUGGGAUCACGGAAGAGGGGCUGGCCUCUAGGAUUUUGAUCGCGUAAGGAGAUCACGGAAGAGCUGCUGAGUGCUUCCUAUUUCCUUCUUCCGGUGAUUUGGGAGGCGGAUCCGGACGAUGGCUUGCCAACGGAGGGAGCCGGUAAUCCAGCUGCUGGGAUGCGGAUGGGCUGGCACUAUGACGUGGCUUGAGGCGUUGGGAUUGAAGGCUGAAGAUGAUGGUGAUCCGAUGGACGGCGCGGAUGCUGGGACAUCGCUACGUGUUGAAGAUGUGAUGCUGAUGAACCGUGGGAUGGCUAGCACAAUGUGGGAAAUCGCUCGGGGGCAAAUGUGCUUGACCAGGUCAUAGUAGGAUUGGGCCCGUGCGGUUUGGGCUGUUGCUGGCUGGCACACUGGGAUGAGCUGAGCUCAAACCCAAUGUUAUUGGGUCUCUUGGAUUACUUGCACUCAAAUACAAAUACAACGUUAAUUAGUUAAUUUUAUCAUUAAUGAUUAACUAUAAUACUAAUUAAGAUGGUAUGACGAUUGCACUUUUGUGCUCUCAUCACACCCCCCAACCAGCUUAUUGCUAGUCUCUAGCAAUUUAGUGCGAAAAUGAGAAAAUAAGAUUGCAAAAGUUUUAUUAUUAUUAUUAUUAUUAUUUAGUAUUAAUUAUUAUUAUAUAUAUGAACUAAAAUAAAUACUCACUUUCGUAGAGCACCACGAUUGCACUUAGCACGUGCGACAAGCCGUUAAACCCCUAGGUUACCCUAGUAGACGAGUGUUAUCUCGUGAGGGUUUGCAGUGAAGUUACCCACAAACUUCAAUCCCUUUUUUUUUUUGAAAUGAAAGUCUAAUUUCAAGUAUAUAACUGAUAAGAAUUUCAAAAGCACACAAGGUUUUAAUUACUAAGUAGCCCAAAUUCUAGGUUAGUAUGCAAUUUAAGUUAAAGUCAUUAAGUUUUCUGUUAGGAAGUUGUCAGACUUAUUUAUACUUGAGUGCUCAGUGAAGUCUGGACCAUGCACAAGCUAAGGUUUUGGAUCUCCAAAAUAUCGCUAAUGCUAGUAGUUUCCAAGAAUUGGUCGGACAAGACCUAAUUGCUGAUUCAAAAUCAUCUUAUCUGGAGAAUUUCGAGAGUUGUGGAUGUUUACUUUAAUACCUCAUGGGCUUUAUCUGUAAUAUUCCAGUUUAUUCGAAUUUUUGCAACGAUGGCUUUCACACUAUUGUCUUUCUUAAGGUCAAUAUACAGAAUUUAUUUAUUUAUUUUUUUUAAAAAACAUGAUAAUGUAUAUAUUGUGCACUUUUACUCCUGUGAUGAUUCCUCCAUGUAGCGAGCAAUUAGUCGACAAUUCUCACACCAGUUGGUUUGAGGUGUCGGGCAUCAAGAGUCUCCUACGGACCUAUACUCGGGUUCCUCAUCACAAGCCCGCUGACUUUUGAUAAUAGGUAGCCCUUUUCGAUGUACCUGACUAAAUCCACCAUUUUUUUUUUGGAUCAGAAAAAGAUGGUUCAUCAGGAUUCGAGGUUGCUCCCAUAUUUUCAACACAAUGUCGAACCUAUACCUUAGAAAAUGCAGGCCAGAUGUGUUGUGAAAUUCAAAGCACUAAUUAGCUUACACCUCACUAAAAGGAACUUAAUAAAAAGAACUCACUUUGCACUACUUUCGACUAGUCAUUGGGCUCUUAGAUUUUAUAUACCUUGUGUGUUGUAAUUUUUUUUUCUAAUUUCAAAAAUUUUAACUAAAAACUUUUUUUUAAAAAAAAUUCCAAAUGCUUAAAAAUACCUCCAAACCUAAAUCUAACAUUGUCCUCAAUGUUAAAGACAAUUUAAAGCAGUAAAAGGACCGAGAAGAAGUUACCUGAUAUGGGUGGGUAAAUUGAAAAUUGGGGCAAAAUCCCCCAAACCUGCAUGUUAGUAAUUUAUUGAUUUUUUUUAAUUAAUUAAUUAAUUUAUUUAUAAUAUUUACAUGUUGGGUUGCCUUCCAAGAGCGCUAAGUUUUAUGUCUUUAGCCAGACAAUUCUAAUUCAUUCAUAUAGACAGGGUCGGUCAGAAGUGUUUUUUCAACUUCUGGACUCAGAUACUCAAGGUAUGGUUUUAAACGAUGUCCAUUGACUUGAAAGGACCUACCAUCCUUGGUAUUGCAUAUUACUACUGCAUCAUGCGGAUGCACUUUCUCUACUAUGAUGGGCCAGUCCAGCGAGAUUUAAGUUUUUCAGGGAAUAGAUGUAAUCGAGAAUCAUAUAGAAGGACUUUUUGUCCUUGGUGAAAUUCCUUACGAAUGAUCAUUUUAUCAUGCAUGAUUUUCAUGCGAUCUUUGUACUUCUUGGUACACUCGUAAGCAUCGUUUCUAAUUUCUUCAAGCUCAUCGAGUUGAAGCUUCCUAUGUUCUCCCGUUUUGUCAAGAUUGAAAUUUAAAUUUUUAAUCGCCCAAUAGGCCUUGCGUUCUAACUCGACAGGUAAAUGGCAGGCCUUGCCAUAGACAGUUCUAUAUGGAGACAUUCCAAUUGGUGUUUUGUAAGCCGUCCGAUAUGCCCACAGUGCAUCUGUUAGCCUAAGAGACCAAUCCUUCCGAGAUGUAUGAACAGUUUUUUCAAAGAUGGUCUUGAUCUCCCGAUUGGAAAUUUCGACUUGUCCACUUGUUUGUGAAUGAUAUAGUGUACUGACCUUGUGAUUAAUGUUGUACUUUCUCAUAAGGGCUUUAAAGAUUUUAUUACAAAAAUGUUUUCCCCCAUCACUAAUGAUAGCACGAGGGGUGCCAAAACGAGCAAAGAUAGAUUCUUUAAGAAACUUGAUCACUACUUUGUGAUCAUUGGUCUUACACGCGAUUGCCUCAAUCCAUUUUGAUACAUAGUCAACUGCCACAAGAAUGUACUGAUGCCCAAACGACAUAGGAAAAGGACCCAUAAAAUCAAUACCCCAAACAUCGAAGAUUUCUAUAAUUAAGAUAGGGUUCAGGGGCAUCUCAUUCUUUCUCGAAAGUUUUUCUAAUCGUUGACAUCGAUCGUAAGAUUUACAAUAGUCAUGCGCAUCUCGAAAAAGUGUGGGCCAAUAAAAUCCGCACUGCAAAACUUUUGCAGCAGUUUUCUUCCCACUAAAAUGACCACCACAAGCAUAGUCAUGACAAAAGCAAAGGACAUUCCUUUGAUCGUGUUUAGGGAUGCAUCGUCUGAUGAUUUGAUCGGGACAGUAUUUGAACAAGUAUGGUUCAUCCCAAAAAUACUAUUUUACACGAGCUAGAAAGCAGAAUUUCUCUUGUUUGGUCCAUGAACUGGGUAUUCGUUCAGUAACUAGAUAGUUGACUACAUCAGCAUACCAUGGAACAUUGAUAUGGGAAAUCAUCAUUAAUUGUUCAUUAGGGAAGGUCUCGGACACAGGCAUGGAUUCUCCAGAUGAUUCAACAAUUAAUCUGGACAAGUGGUCAGCUACAAUAUUUUCAGAUCCCUUUUUAUCUCGUAUUUCAAGAUCAAAUUCUUGAAGCAAUAGGAUCCAACGAAUGAGUCUUGCCUUGGCNNNNNNNNNNNNNNNNNNNNNNNNNNNNNNNNNNNNNNNNNNNNNNNNNNNNNNNNNNNNNNNNNNNNNNNNNNNNNNNNNNNNNNNNNNNNNNNNNNNNNNNNNNNNNNNNNNNNNNNNNNNNNNNNNNNNNNNNNNNNNNNNUCAAAUGGCAGAUUCCAAUCUGGGGACCUUAUGAUGGGUGCUGAGGUUAGUUCAGACUUUAGUCUUUCGAAAGCAGUUAUACAAAUUGGCGAAAAAUUAAAAGUAGCAUCUUUCGCCAACAGAUCGCAUAAGGGUUUCAACAAUUUACUGAAAUCCUUGAUAAAGCGGCGGUAAAAACCCACAUGCCUUAAAAAGGAUUCGACUUUCCUAACAGUUUUGGGAGGUGGUAACUUGGCAAUUAAUUCUGCUUUGGCUUUAUCCAUCUCGAUUCCCCUUUGUGACACAAUGUGUCCCAAAAUAAUACCUGAUUGGACCAUAAAAUGAUAUUUUUUCUAGUUAAGAACUAAAUUUUUCUCUUUACAUCGUUCUACAACAAGGGUCAAGUGAUGGAGACAUUCAUUAAAAUUAGAUCCGAAUACAAAAAAGUCAUCCAUAAAAACUUCUAAAAAUUUUUCCACCAUGUCGGAGAAAAUGCUCAUCAUACACCGCUGGAAUGUAGCCGGUGCAUUGCAUAACCCAAAAGGCAUGCGACGAUAGGCAAAAGUGCCAUAAGGACAGGUGAAUGUGGUUUUCUCUUGAUCCUCACGUGCAAUUGGAACUUGGUUAUAUCCAGAAUAACCAUCAAGAAAACAGUAAUGAGAGUGGCCAGCUAGACGUUCUAACAUUUGGUCAAUGAAGGGUAGUGGGAAGUGGUCUUUUCUAGUCAUGACGUUCAGUUUUCUGUAGUCGAUGCAUACUCGCCAUCCAGUUUGGAUUCGAGUUGGGACUAAUUCAUUGUGGUCAUUCUUAAUCACAGUGAUUCCAGAUUUCUUUGGUACGACUUGAAUUGGGCUCACCCAUUGGCUGUCAGAAAUAGGAUAUAUAAUCCCUGCAUCUAAGAGUUUAAUGAUUUCAGCUCGAACCACAUCCUUCAUGACUGGGUUAAGUCGUCUUUGUGGUUCUUUAGAGGUUUUUGCAUCCUCUUAUAGAUGAAUUUUAGGUUGGACCACAGAAGGACUAAUUCCCUUAAUAUCAGCUAUAGACCAGCUGAUUGCUUCUUGAUUUUUCUGAAGGAUAUUUAACAACUUCUCUUCCUGUUCUUUAGUUAAAUUUGAUGCAAUAAUCACAGGUAAGAUGUUGUUGUCCCCGAGAAAUGCAUAUUUUAAGUUUUCAGGCAGAUCUUUAAGUUCAAGCUGGGGAGGUUUGACACUUGAAGGUACUAGCUGGGAUUCAGGUAUAGGUAAUGAUUCAAAUUUAGUAGCCCAUCUGCUAGUAUCCAUUACAGGAAUGGAAUCUAACAAUGCAUUAACCUCCUGAUUCGACUUUUCCUCCUCACAAUCUUGACUGAAUUGGGCCAAACAUCUUUCUAGUGGAUUAGAAUAACUUGAUUCCUCGAAGGAUUUGCUGCUUAUAUUCUCAAUCAUGUGAAUUUCUUCUAAAUCAUCCAUCUCAGAUGGUUGAUUAUUACUGUGAAAGACAUUGAGUUGGACGGUCAAGUUUCCAAAUGCUAAGGUCAUUAUUCCAUUUCGGCAACUGAUCACAGCAUUUGAAGUGGCCAAAAAUGGUCUGCCAAGGAUUACCGAGAUGUGACUACCUAGAUUUUUCACUGGUUCAGUUUCGAGAACUACAAAAUCCACAGGAUAGUAAAACUCAUUUACCUUUACAAUUACAUCCUCUACAAUUCCCUUAGGAUACUUCACAGUCCUAUAUGUUAACGAAAGAGUGAUGUUUGUGGGUUUUAAUUUUCCCAAACCCAACUCUGUGUAAACAGAAUAGGAUAACAGGUUCACGCUAGCUCCUAAAUCUAGGAGAGCUCUCCGAAUGAUGGUUUCUCCUAUUUUAAUUUUAAUAGUGGGGCAACCAGGGUCCUUGUAUUUUGGGGCAAUCUGUUGUUGAAUAAGAGAUGAGGCUUGUGCCGCCAUCACAGCUUGUCUAGGAAUACUGGUUUUUUUUUUCACCGAUCACAGCUUGCCUAGGAAUACUGGUUUUCUUUUUCACCGUGGUUAGGUCUUUUAAGAAUUUGGUAUAGGAGGGGAUCUGUCUAAUGGCAUCUAGGAAGGGUAAAUUUAUUUGGACAUUUUUAAAGACUUCCAUGAUUUUAUCGUACUGAGAUUUUUUUCUUUGAGUCUUGUAGUCUACUAGGAAAGGGAGCCUUGGGUGUGUAUGUCUCUAUUGGUUUCUCCUCUAUUCCUUGUGUUCCCUGUUCUUGUGCCUUUUUCUGAGUGGGGUUCGGUUCAUGCUUUUCUUCUUUUUCUUGUACAGGAAGUUGAACUUUGUUGUCCACUUUCUUGCCAGACCGUAAAGUGGUAAUUGCCUGUACUUCAUGGGUAAGGUUUCCAUUAGAAUCAAUCUGAAACUGGCCUCUUGGCUCUUGAUUCUGUUGCCUACUAGGGUUAGGCACUGGCUGACUAGGUAGUUCACCUUUCUUCCUAUCCUCUAGAGAGUUUGCUAUUUGGCUUAGACUAACUUCAAGUUUUGCAAUUGCUUGCGCAUGGAAUUGGUUAGUCUGGGUUUGAGCCAUGUUGGUCUGUUGUUGCUGUUGGAUAAAAUCUUGUUGUUGUUUCAUCAUGUUAGCCAUCAUGGUUUCUAAUGGUGAAGAUUAUUGUGGGAUAGGGGUAUUGUAAGGAGGUACAGAUGGAACUAAAGGUUGGUUCAUUUGUGAUGGAUCUAUUCGGGAGAAGUUUCUAUGAAAACCUGGUGGACCACCUUGAUGCUGAAUAGGUUCAUUUUGCUUGUAUGAGAAAUUUGGGUGGAACCUAUUAUCAGGAUGGUAGACUGGGCUGAAUGAAUUGGGAGUGGGCUUCUUGAAGGCACUAUAUAAGUUUAGAGCAUUUGCCUGCUCAGCCUUAAUGUUGAGUAAACUAAGACAACAUUCCACUAAAUGCUCAGAACUGUUACACAAGAUAUAUAAGUCAUGUGAUUCGUAUUCCACUUUCAUGAUGGGAUUUAACUCUUUAUAUGAAUCGAGCUAGUGAAAACAGUGAAAGCAUCAAACUUUUUACUUAAGUUGUUCAUUUCAGUCACCAGAUUGGACAUGACAUUAAAAUAACACUGCUCUUAAUUAAAGUAAAACAAAAAAAAUAAAAAGAAAAAGAAGAACAACAACGUGCUUUGUUUGAAAACAGAGCACAAACUCAAAACUCUCUCUUUUUUUUCUUUGGAACAGAGCUUCCCUUCCUCUGUUUCUUUGGCCCACAACCGAGCGCUCCCCUCCUCCCUCUCUGUUUCUCCCCCCCCCUUCUUAUAGCCCUUGGAGAGCGGUGAAUAUGGAAGGCGAUCUGGGCAUUUUCACCGCGUGUAGAACGCGGUUGCUGGGCAGAUCGCUCAUCUGGAGGACUUUCUUCUUUGGACCACGGAUGCGGGAUCGCCGGACGCCUGAUGCGGAAGGCGCGGAUGGCUGUGAGGCGCGGUGAGGACGCGCUAGCAGCAACUGCGAGGCGCUGGGAUCACGGACGGACGCGGGAUUCCGGGAGGAGAAUCAAGAGCGGUGGGGACGCGCUGAAAUGGAAGAUGCCACGGGAUGCUGUGGCGUUGAUCACGGAAGAUGAGGACGUGCGGACGACUGUGAGUCGGGCGUUGCUGGGAUCACGGAAGAGGGGCUGGCCGCUGGGAUUUUGAUCGCGUAAGGAGAUCACGGAAGAGCUGCUGGGUGCUUCCUAUUUCCUUCUUCCGGUGAUUUGGAAGGCGGAUCCGGACGAUGGCUUGCCAACAGAGGGAGCCGGUAAUCCAGCUGCUGGGAUGCGGAUGGGCUGGCACUAUGACGUGGCUUGAGGCGUUGGGGUUGAAGGCUGAAGAUGAUGGUGAUCCGAUGGACGGCGCGGAUGCUGGGACAUCGCUACGUGUUGAAGAUGUGAUGCUGAUGAUGAACCGUGGGAUGGUUAGCACAAUGUGGGAAAUCGCUCGGGGGCAAAUGUGCUUGACUAGGUCAUGGUAGGAUUGGGCCCGCGCGGUUUGGGCUGUUGCUGGCUGGCACACUGCGAUGAGCUGAGCUCAAACCUAAUGUUAUUGGGUCUCUCGGAUUACUUGCACUCAAACACAAAUACAACGUUAAUUAGUUAAUUUUAUCAUUAAUGAUUAACUAUAAUACUAAUUAAGAUGGUAUGACGAUUGCACUUUUGUGCUCUCAUCACUUUGUAUCAGAACGUGAUAAAAUUAUCUACUUCUAAUGGACUCAUUUCGGCUACAUCUGAGUUAUGUUCUGGAUUCAGAUCUUCACUUUAUCAGCUUGUUUAUCAUUUAACACAUGCAAAUACAUAAGUCUAAUAUUAAACAUGUU